rnacentral:rRNA from 1 species
CCUACGGGUGGCAGCAGUAGGGAAUAUUGCUCAAUGGGGGAAACCCUGAAGCAGCAACGCCGCGUGGAGGAUGAAGGUUUUCGGAUUGUAAACCCCUUUUGUUAGAGAAGAUAAUGACGGUAUCUAACGAAUAAGCACCGGCUAACUCCGUGCCAGCAGCCGCGGUAAUACGGAGGGUGCAAGCGUUAUUCGGAAUCACUGGGCGUAAAGAGCGCGUAGGCGGGAUAGCAAGUCAGAUGUGAAAUCCUAUGGCUUAACCAUAGAACUGCAGUUGAAACUGUUAUUCUAGAGUAUGGGAGAGGUAGGUGGAAUGCUUGGUGUAGCGGUAAAAUCCGUAGAGAUCAAGAAGAAUACUCAUGGCGAAGGCGACCUACUGGAACAUAACUGACGCUGAUGCGCGAAAGCGUGGGGAGCGAACAGGAUUAGAUACCCUUGUAGUC